rnacentral:rRNA from 1 species
UACGUAGGGGGCUAGCGUUGUCCGGAAUCAUUGGGCGUAAAGCGCGUGUAGGCGGUCCGGUAAGUCCGCUGUGAAAGUCGAGGGCUCAACCUCGAAUGCCGGUGGAUACUGUCGGGCUUGAGUACGGGAGAGGCGAGUGGAAUUCCUGGUGUAGCGGUGAAAUGCGCAGAUAUCAGGAGGAACACCGAUUGCGAAGGCAGCUCGCUGGAACGUACUGACGCUGAGACGCGAAAAGCGUGGGGAGCAAACAGG